CAGGGCGAACAGAUGGCCCCUGGCCUGGGGCGGGUGCCUGGAGGGAGGGGAGUGCCAGGCACCCACCCGAAUUCCCAGCAGACAUCCCGCCAGCCAGCCGCAUGCCUCUCAUCCCAGCAACGCCUCAGUACGGAGAUGGAGAAAGCAAGCAAGGAAGCAAGCAAGCGCAGCUCCCCCUGCAAGGCUGGCAUGCUGGCAGCAUUUCCCGUGCAAAGGCACGCUGGAGGCCAAGCGUGAGAAAGGCGGCCUCGUGGUAUUCGUCUCUCGGAAAGGGCAGCGUCAGUGCCACACUCGAGCAGAAAGCACAGCAAGGAAGAAGGUGAGAAGGCACACGGGAAGCGGCAGAUCACCAGAUCUAAGUUUACACCAGUGUACACAUGAAAACACAGUCUCACGUCCUCCUGUUGAGGAGGUUCAUACAGCUGCUGUCUCUGAAUGGAAAAGAUGUGGGUUGCCUGGUAGCAAUGUCCAGCUUGACCUUCAGUAUCCAGUUCGUAGACUUGACUAAUAUUAAAUCAAUGCAUGGAGCUGAA